UACGUAGGUGGCAAGCGUUGUCCGGAUUUACUGGGCGUAAAGAGCUCGUAGGCGGUCUGUCGCGUCGGCUGUGAAAUCCCGAGGCUCAACCUCGGGUCUGCAGUCGAUACGGGCAAACUAGAGUAUUGCAGGGGAGACUGGAAUUCCUGGUGUAGCGGUGAAAUGCGCAGAUAUCAGGAGGAACACCGGUGGCGAAGGCGGGUCUCUGGGCAAUAACUGACGCUGAGGAGCGAAAGCGUGGGGAGCGAACAGG
rnacentral:rRNA from 1 species